UUCUCAUUAAUAAGUUGACAACGCAGCCAAUUAGACCCUGCCAAAUCACAGACAUGUCGAUUUGCACGGGACUAAUAUUAUCACAGGACGUCUGUGUUUGGCGAAAUAUGGUAGGUCAUUUGCAAGAGAAUUUUUACUUCACAAAUUACAGACAUGGCUGAUUCGCACGGCAUUAAGAUCACAGCCAACCUCCGUAAUUAUUACAAAUGACUAGAG